rnacentral:tRNA from 1 species
GGUUCCAUGGGGCUCAGUUGGUAGAGCAUGGCUCAUGCAAUGCCAGGGUUGUGGGUUCAAUUCCCACUGGGGACC